CGGGGGAGCAAGCGUUGUUCGGAUUUACUGGGCGUAAAGGGCGCGUAGGCGGUCAGCACAAGUCAGUUGUGAAAUCUCCGGGCUUAACUCGGAAAGGUCAACUGAUACUGUGCGACUAGAGUGCAGAAGGGGCAACUGGAAUUCUCGGUGUAGCGGUGAAAUGCGUAGAUAUCGAGAGGAACACCUGCGGCGAAGGCGGGUUGCUGGGCUGACACCGACGCUGAGGCGCGAAAGCCAGGGGAGCGAACGGGAUUAGAUACCCCGGUAGUCCUGGCCUUAAACGAUGGAUGCUUGGUGUCUGGAGUUAUAUAGUCUCCGGGUGCCGCAGCUAACGCGUUAAGCAUCCCGCCUGGGGAGUACGGUCGCAAGACUG
rnacentral:rRNA from 1 species